rnacentral:piRNA from 1 species
UAAUUACCAGAGCUAACGAUCCCUA